CUCAGCCGCAUCUGCAUCGAGCAGUGGGAACCCGCGUAGCCUCCCUGCGCGUCCUGCUGUCUAGCAGACGGAUAUACGCAGUUGGGCGGCUGUGCGCGAAACGCAGACAGCGGGUGGCAGCGACUUCGCGAAGAGGUCCGUGACAGAACCGAGUCACGUGGGGCUCCGCUGACGGAGUGCAAGAGGAGAGCCCCGCUGUGCACUUCUCUCAUAUCCACCGCCGUUCCUCUUUGAUAUCGCACGCCGUAAUUGCUACAAGCGUUAUGGCUGAGCAGAAAGUGUGUAGUGUCCAUCUGUUCCACAGAGCCUUAGAAGAGCCUUCGAUGGGUAUUCUGCGUAGCGUGUCGUCGUCUUCGAAGCAACUGCAGCACUGGAUGGUCUACUUUAUUUUUGAUGACGGAACAGUUCUAGAGUGUGAUGGAGAAGAAGACGCUACCUCCAAGAAACUGCGUGGGAAUGCACGGUUGAUAAGUCACAGCGAUGUGGAGCCUUUCAGAAAAAACAUGAAACUAUUGAAGGAGGGUGUUCUUCUCUCGAAAGAAGCCAUCAGAGAAGCGGUAGACAAAAUGAACCUGAUUUGCGAGAAGUAUGACCUUGUCGGCAACAACUGCCAGCACUGGAUCAAAAGGCUGCUCGUAAAGCUGGAUGUACCAGUGUCUGACGUCGAUAUAAAGGAAGCCACUGCCAUUACAGGCGGCGUAGUUGCAGGAGCCGUAGCUACAGCUGCAGUUACAGCCUUGUUCAAGUCCGCGUCUGGCAGAUGAAAAAACUAAAGACCUUCAGAGUUGCCUGCUUCGAUAAUUAAAUGUGUCCUAUCGACCUUCAUCGCCUGAGCAUUGACACACAACCCUAGCAGAAAUGUCAGAGAGUGGUAACUGUUGUAGAAAAACAGUCGGUCAUGAGCGAAAUCAGUGAAUAGAGUCCAGCAAAUUUCUCCUUUUCUCUGAAAGACGAAAGUCACCGAAAAGGUUAGCCAGCUGUAGGAUUCGAACCCACAUCUUGUAGAUUUGCGGUUCAGGUCCCUACCAACUGAGCUAAGCUAACACACCUCCCCUACGACUUCCAUGGGUUCGUCAUCUGAAGGGAAAACCCAACCACUCUCUCUCACUCAUCCUCCUUUCACUCUUACAUUUUUGCUCACUCGUACACACAUUCAUACGACGGGAUCGACACAAGCGGCAACUGUUGAACAUGAGAGAAGUGAUGUUCCGAGGCUGGAGGGACAUAGAAAGGACAAAUAGAUGCAAAGGCAAAUUUGGCUUUGCCAAUUUGCCAAAGCCAAAAUUUGAGGCUUUGUAUGUAUUUGCCCUGUCUAUCUUGUUCCAGCCUCAGGACAUCAUUUCUCGCGAGUUUCUACAGCUAUUGAGUCGUGUGUUGUGUGUCAUGCCUCUGGGUGUCCAGACUUAGGCUUUUACAUUAUGAAGGACGAGUAUACCUUCCGCGACAUCAAGUAAUAUGUGCCCUCUAAUUAUUGUAUAGAACUGUGCCUGUGUUUCGCUGGUUACUUAUGAUGUUUUGUACUGUACGUGUCCUGGCAUAUGGUCUUUAAGUUAUUUUCUUCUUCAGUUUUGUGUUUUUGCUGUGCCUCGUGGAGGCUUUCUUUUCGUUUAGAUUGCCUUGUCGGUCGGUUGGUGUGUGGUCUCGUAUCGUAUCUUAUUUUAGGUUCUGUACUGUACAUGUUUUUACAGUACUGUAUAUCUAACUCAGAUAGUGCGCCAACGCAACGGUCCUGGUCUUUCUGUGGCACUACACCAAGCCAUUAAUAUCUUUAUUAGUUUUAUUAUUACUACGAUGAUGAUGAUGAUGAUGCUCGAUUGAUGUAAAAAGGAUCAGCCAUGUUAUUAAGCACGUUCUUUCUAUUUUCAGUGCUAUUUUCUCAAUGGUGACGUGCCUGUUUUGCUAAAGCCAUGUGUGAUUACGCCUGUCUUUAAACAAGUUAGCGUGAUGAUAUUGAAGAAUUGUCGUCCAAUAUCUAUUGUGCCGUUUUCGGCCUUAGUUAUGACAAAAUUAUACCCAGGCAGCACAGCGCGACGACCCAACGUCGGUGCGUCGGAGGCGUCUCCUCAUGGAUCUCCUGUAUUUUCAUUAUUUUCUUAUAUUGCGAAGCUCCUCGUACAUGAUGAUCAACAUGGGUAAAAUUAAUAAUUUCUACCGAAUAGUUUCCGUGCAAAAAAGUCCAGAAAUCCGGCCUGAAAUUCGAGAAUUACAGAAUUACUACAGAAUUGCAUUCCAUAUUUUCCCUAGAAGUUAUUCCUUUUACAGCUGUUGAACAUAAUAUACGAUGAGCUUACAAAUAUAAAAAUACUGAAAACCCAGGUGGUCGAUUGCACCUCCCUGACUGAACAGAUACAUAACCGGCCUGUAAACUAAUUUCAAACGCAGUUAUAAGUAAUAAAACGUGAUGAAAAUUGACGUGAAGUUCCUAAGCUAGUUUAGAAAUGUAACAAGUUGCCUUGAAAAUUACUUGCUAAUCAAUAUAUCAACUUUUUAGCUCUUGACUUCUCUAUGUGGUUUAUUCAGACCUUGCUGUCACAAUGGCCGAUUGAAGACGUUUCGAAGCUGUCUUGAUAUACAAAAACGAGAUCAAUAUCCGCUACUACGAAAGAAGCCUACAUUUAUAGGCUUCUUUAGGGAGGGAUUUCAUUAUUUUGUUCUCGUAGUAUGGUACACGAAAGGAGCACAGAGUAAGUUUAUGCUCUACGAGUUGUGCCCUACGCACAUAUCGUAGAAUCGUGCCAAGUUUUAACCCUACUACACAAUGCCCUGUAUCAUUAUGAAUGCACUGCCUAUCAUUAAGAUCCACGACACCUGAGCUUCCUAAUGCAACGGCUAAAACACAAUUUGUAACGUUCACUGUGUAUAACAACAAGGGAGUUAAACGCCCUGUGCGCGUGUCACCUCGCAUCUCAAGUCAUGGAGGGGGGGUGGGGUGGAGGGGCUGCGAUGUUUCUAGACAAGAAUUGAAAAAAAAAAAAAAACUUUGAACUUUGUCCAAGUUACCCUGAAAAACUUACUCACCCUCAAAUACAGAGAGAGUGAGAAAUGAAGGAACUCAUCUCAAAAGCAAGGGGCUAAGCAAAAAGUUACUGAAAAUAGCUACGCUAAGUAGCUUAAUUACGGUAUCAAAUUUCUGGUAACGAGUUACACCUAACAACAUGUCAUAACCGUUCUACACUCUUUAAAAAAUAGAAGAAACAUUUGUGCACCUUCCCCAAUACGAGGGCAAUAUACAUAAAAUACGAGAACCAGCAAUGCAUAUGUGGUGUGACUCGUACCUUUGAGGACUCGAACCUUUAGAACUGUGAAAAAUAUCAAUGUGUCAAGAAUAUGCCUUUUCUUAUACGUUGGCUUUCUUGCUAUGAAGGCCCCUUAUUAUGGAUACCCGAAGUCAUUUUAAAAAAAAGAACACAGCACACCAGAUUGUUUUUCUUGUAAAAACAUCACAACGCUACAGGUUCAUAGUUUUGUAAGCGAAGUGCGGGGUGGAUUCUGAAAGUGGAAGAUAGCUUGAGGUCAGUGUAAAACUGAGAGAAGUACACCACACCACAACACGCAUACGUUAUUGAAUACAGAUCAAAUAGCUAAACUUACAGCUGUCAGCAUGACAAGAUCCGAUAGAAAACUCCUGACCAUCAUAACAGGCUCCGAAGCACAGGUGUGGUGGUGGGCCCAUUAAGCACGCUCUGGAAGUGGUCCUGCAUGACGUUCUGGAUAAAAGACCAGGCUAGCUUACAUUUACUCACAAUUUGAAACAAAUUGUGAUAUCAUACGUCGACCAUAUUACGCAAACGGAUUAAGGCGGAAUAAUUUAUUCACUUCGGAUGUUUUAUUUUUAUUUUCAUUUAGAAUGACUACAAAAACAAACCUUGAGCUGAAGACCCCAGCAUUCCAAUUUUUGUAGGGACGCAGGAGUUGGGAAGUACAGCUGCAGCACGCAGUCGUCCAGAGAAAUGGUUAUAUUUCGUUUGAUGUCACGUACACAAUACACACGAUUCUACUUUACUGAAGCAUCUUUUCACCAAAACAUAGUCCACUAUCCUAAAAGCAACGCGAAAACCACAAUGGAUCACUGAAAUCGAAACUAUGUGAUGCUGUGCUGUUAAGUUUCGAGAGAACCCUUCCACAGCGGUGCCAUUCAUGUUGAAAGGCAUUAACGAGUAACGUUUAUCAAUGCGAGGAAUGCCACAAGAAGAAAUAGCACUUACCCCUCGAUGAAUCGCUUAAAAAUGUCGCAAUUCCUCGAAAGUUUCGGGAGCACGGCCGGACACAUUCGUUACCCACAGCGAGGGCGACGGGGUUUUCGACAGUGUAAACAGGGCUCAGGAACAUCACUGGCGGAUUCGGACGUGAUUGCAACACUCGGUGCCUGACAGUCUGGGAAGAGAAAUCCGUUGCCGCACCCCGGUCAUGUGACUGUUAUCGUGAAGUGACCAGAUCAGCAUCGGGCAGCGAUCCUAUAUUUUGAUCACAAGACCAAGGCUAGCCCAGACCGGGAAAUGAGCAGAUCAGCAUCGGACAGCGAUCCUAUAUUAUUGUUUACAUGACCAAAAGCAGACCAGACGGGGAAGUGAUCAGUGCAUCGUCGGGGGCGACCUUAUCUUCUCUCGCGCUGUACCUCCUCCGUUCCCACACCGCUGGGAUCCUGUCGGGCACUAUCGCCCGUUCAGGAGCCGAAGCCUCCAUAGGGUUCCCAUUCUUUCACCGAGUGUUUGUGCUUCCUGGGAAGUAUCUAUCUACGUCCCGCGGUACAGGUUCCGUGGACUGAACUCGAAAGCUUAUUCAAUUCACUGGAAUCCGCAGCCAUCGUGCUGCGUGACUUGAAUGCAAAUCAUACGGCCUGGGGAAGCCAUAGAACGGACGGACGGGGAAGGAGAUUGUUUGGAAGCACAUGCUCACAUGUGCCUACUUAACAACCGACAGCCAACUUAUAUGCGAUCACCAACGUCGCUCGAUGUCCUGGAUCUUUCCUGGUGCUCAGCAGACACAAUAGGCGAUUUCAGAUAUUGUCCUUGUGCUCCGCACGGGGGCCCUCCGUCGCCCAAGUCACGCGCAUCGCGCAAUGCGUCGUGGGAAAUGGUUUACAUUCGUGCUCGUCUGCCUGUUGCUCGAAGGUGCGGGAGGUGAAGGAGAGAGAAAACCGAAACCGUUUGCGCUCUUCUUCUUCUCUCUGACUCAUGAAAACUAAAUCCCAAGGUGCAGCGGGGCUUUCGCAACAUUGCGCUCCCUGGUGGGCAUUCUAUGCAAUUUCUGAAAUCGUCUAUUCGUCACUUGUCGUGCGCUACCGAUGUCGACACUCGAGGUAGUGACCACUUUCUCUUCUACAUUUCACACGAAAGGCUGCUUCGGUCACCCACAACUGGACUGAUUCCUUUCACAAACUGGAGACUCUUUCGUGCCGGUCUUCGAACAUUUGUGUACACCAGUAUGUCCCCAGAGGCCCUCUCGCAAGGCAUUCGUUCCGCCAUGCAAAACGCUGUUGUCCUGUCUAAAAGGGUAACAGGUCACGUCGGUCAUUCUCCAGCAAUUAACCACCUAAGAGCAUUACGUCGCCGGGCAGAGAGAACGGCUCCCUGAACUGGGCAACUUCCUGAUAUUGUGGCAUACCGGUCGAAAGCUUAGGUAACUCGAUGACUUAAGAGGCCAUACCAGUCGAGGAGCAACUCCGAUUCACGAUUUUCCCGAUUCUAGAUGGAGCCACGCUCGCCGUCCUUCUCAGGCCGUUCGCCUCCGACUCACGAAAUAAUCCCCAUUGAGCAUGGUUGACCUCGCGAGUUUAAGGCGGCCCGCGCCCUCUGCGCUGUUUGUCGAGUGGUAAAGUGUCGGACUUUGCUACGAAAGGUCCACAGUUCGAUUCGAUACAUUCACGUCUUUUUGCUUGUCUCCUAUUGCUACAUGAGUACUUUAUUUUUAUUUUUUUGUUCUUAUAUAUUCAUGCUACAAUUAUUGUUUUCACAAGUCACUACCGCCUGCACUGACUGAUUAUGGAAUUUUUAGUUGCUCUUCGUAUUGUUUUACUAGUGCAUAGUUACCGUAUGCCGACGUACAAGUGUGAUCGGAUAGUACGGAUGCCGGUAUCUCGGAGGCUCUCAAUUGGAUCUACCAGCGGCUGAAAAUUAGGCUAUAAACAUUGCCUACACACAGCGCUUACAAUGCCAGUCUGGAAAAUCUGCUCGAAACGGUAUUCCUUUUUUUUUCUGCACUCGCUUACAUAAUAAUAAUAAUAAUAAUAAUAAUAAUAAAUAAUAACAAUAAUAAUUUUACUCAAGAAAGCAAACUACAAAUAUAAUAAAACAGGCCCGUCUAAGCGGAAAAGCUUGUGGCACUGGGCCUGAAGCAGUCAGCGGCAUACAGUUUGACAGUACAUGAACAUAUAAAGGUACUACAUCCUAUGAUAAAGUUGUCGUAGCGCUUUUUUUAGUUUGUACUUCGAUUCCAAAGAAAAACUGUCGAAGGGGAGCUCAUUAAAGAUACGAGGUACAUAGCAUUGCCUGCGACAAAGUCCAUAUUUUGUGUGUGAGAAAUGUACAACAGGGCAGCAUUCGCUAACCGAGGUAUGAGGGGUCCCAAAAAUGUUUUUACAACAUGCAAUUUACCUUGAUAAUAACUCUAUUAUUCAUGCAAAAGUGACAUUUUGAUAUGUAUAUUUCUGGUAAGUAAGCAUUAUCAAAUAUCUGAAUUCAUUUACAAGGCGUUUGUGCAAAAGACUUUUCCAAAUUUCCGUCGUAGAACAGACUUCUUAUUAUUACCCGAAAACUUCAGUAACAUAUUUGAAAGGCUCCUUUCCUCCAUGUUCUCCCUUCUUUUUUUUUCACCUUAUACCCGCUCAGAAAAAUGAUGUCAGUCGACAACCGCAGUGACAGGGGACUCCCUUUCUUCUGGUGUAUGCCUUCUUUUCUUUUUUUAGAAUAAUUUCUGAAGCGUAAAUUUUUACUCCAGAUUUCGUUGUGUUGAAUGCUGAGGUCUCAGUUAACUCAAUCCAAACUUGAAAACGUGAAAUUCGGUCGUGGAAAAGCUGAAGAACUGGACACCAUGUGAGCCAAAUUUAUGCGUAUUUUAGGAAAAUCACUAUUCUUGAAGGGCAACACAGAUGCAAUUACAAAACUGGGGUUUCCAGAGAUGAGUAUGAUCGCUAGUUGCCAAAUGAAGGAAUGAUAACGGAGAAGUCGUUUCAUAUAAUCAAAGCUCGCCCGAGAUGCCAGAUUUUCUUUCCCGGAAAAAAAUGUCCCCAGGCAGAACCGUCCCCAGGGAAAAAUGUCCCCCGGAGAAAUCGUCUCCGCAAGAACGAAAGCCGUUUGAUUGAACGCGGGACAUUUGGUCCAAAGUCAUUUGAUCGAACACUGUCUGAUCGAAACGGCAGCGGUCGUUUGAUUGAUUUUUUUAUUGCUUCGUGUGGAGCAGAUGCAUACUCUAAACAAGAUUGAACUAAAGUUUUAUAUGGCUAUUAAUACAAUAUCUGUAUUUUAUACUAUGGCGAAAUUUCCUUCUUAGCAUUCAGACUUCGAAUGCCUCUCGUGCACAUAUCACUAUCCCAUUUCGGAUCCCAGCAAUGAAAAGGGUGCCCAGAAGAAGCACAGACUAUUGGCUGCUCCCAACUUGAAGACACUUUCUUCGGUAUGUGUCCUACAGCUACGGGGGAUGCUUCCGCAUUGUUCUAUUCAAUUCAAUUCAGUUUUAUUCAAUUUUAUUUCCUUUCGGAUGGGAGAGAGUAAAAAGCCAGAAGGCUGUGCUGUUCGUGAAUGACUAAUAAAACCUUUCUGCAAACGACCAGUGGUCUCCCCUCUUUAGCUGAAAAAAAAAGCAAGAAACAAACAAAAAAGGAGAGGACACUGAUUGCCUCAUGCUCCAUAUGUUCGAAUCAAAAGUUACAGAAAAAGAGGUGCUAAGGACACACUGCGAGCUUCGAACUCCCCUCAAAAAAACGUCUUUCGAACAAACGGCGUCAAUCAACCGGCUUUCGAUCGAACGGCUUGCGACCAAGCGGUCUUCGAUGAAACGCCUUCUCCAAACGGCUUAGGAUUUCGGAAUAACUCCUUCAACUCAAUCUUUAUGUAUAAAUGGACAAGAUAAAAUGAAAGGAACUUGACGCGCGACGAGGUCUCGGAGCACGAUUUCCGUCUCAUAACGCUCUGAUUAUUACCCGGAAACUUCAGUACUAUAUUUUUAGACACUCCUUGGUUUUCACAGGGUACUUCACAUUACACCAGACCUUUCGUUCAGCGUAGACACGAGUUCAGCGGAGAAUCCCCAGUGACCCGGAGCUUUUCCUUAUCUUCCUCAGAAGGCCUCCCUUUGUUCGCCGUCCAAAGACAGACGGGUACAGGUUUUCGGUCAUCCAACGUGCAACUAGCAAGGAUUGUCGAAAGAUGGAAAAUCCAGGGAACCGGUCUCGAAAUAUUGGCCGUAUCUCAAAAUAACGUGAUCGAAGUCCCCGUUGCAAAAUAAACUACUGUAAAUAAAUGUUAUCUGGCUGUUUCUGCUCGGAAACUGCCAAAGCCCACUUAGACUAACCUGAACAUGAAAAUACAAACACCGAACUUUUACUAACCUAAUAAUCAACUAACUAACGUGCUGUUCCGUCGCGUCCGUUUCAUUUAUCUCCUAUUUCUUAAUUUUAUUUAUUUAUUUAUGUAUUUUGGAAUAGCAUGCCGACGUCCCGUUUGGCUGACCUUUAGCCCGUUUUUUUCCCCUUCUCGUCUAAUAAAUAUAUCUCCCUCCCCCGUCGCUGUCGUUGGUUGUCGUUGGUUUUCCUUGCUACGCGAACGUGAAUUUGGGUUCCGGAAAAGACUGUUGCUCAUUGCGUGGGCGGAAAUAAUUAGCAGCGGUCGCUUGAUCGAUUUUUCUUGUUGGUUCACGUGGAGCGUUCAUGAAAAUAAAUAAAUAAAAUAAUAAAGAGAAAAAUAAAAAUAAAUCGAUCACUAAAAGAAAGAAAGAGAAACAACAAAUAAAGCUGCAGUUCUAAGUACCGUUAUCCUAAGAAAUAUUUAUGUGUGUGUAAUCCGCUUUACUGGCUGUUUCAACAUUACGAACAUUACAGGGCAGUCCUGUUGAACGUUACUGGAAUGCUUGUGAAGUCGGUCUUCCACUAACCGUAAAUACGAGAGAUUCUCGUUAGCCUUAUGAGACAGUUGACUGAGUAAGCACAAACCCGAAACGGCCGUGAUGUUCGUGAAUGACAAAGGUCUGCAAAUAACCAGUGGUCUCCCCUCUUUUGCUAAAAAAAAAAAAAGCAAGCAACAAACGAACAAACAAAAAAGGAGAGGACACUGAUUGCCUCAUGCUCCAUAUGCUCGAGUCAAACGUUACAGAAGUGCUAAGGACACGCUGCGACCUUCGAACUCCCUUCGAAAAAACGUCUUUCAAAUAAACGGCGUCGAUCAACCGGCUUUCGAUCGAACGGCUUUCGACCAAUUAGUCUUCGAUCCUUCUCCAAACAGCUUAGGAUUUCAGAAUAUCCAAUUAUAAUGUGAUGAGGAAGAUGCGAUGGCUGUGAACGGUGAACUGUCAAAAACAAGCCUAAACUAACCUACCCUGGAAACUAACCUAGGACCCGGCUCUAAUCGGUCUGGGGAUGCUACGUCCAACGAGACGUUAUAUCCAACGCGCCGUUACAUCCAUCGGUGGACGUAACGGCGCAUUGGAUGGAACGGCUCGUUGGCUAUAACUGCACGGUAUGGAUGUACCGACACGUUGGAUGUUUGGAAAUCCACGACAAUCGUGGAUAUAUUGUAAUACAUUAAACAAACAUUUCUUAAGUGUUGUUUCACCGGUAGUUGCUGGCGACAAUGAAAGGCAAGAUGAUAUUUUGCCAUCCCACAACGAAUACACGUGUUUCUUUUCACCUUCUUGUCCCGGCGAAGUAGAAUCAAUCAUUCGGAGACUGAAACAAACCGCAGCUGUGGGGUACGAUAAGAUAUCGGUUUCUUUUCUCAAGAACACAGUAUGCUUGAUAUCUGAACCCAAGCGAAGGAUGUUUUCCUGAUGAAUUAAAAAUUGCCAAGGUCUGCCCUAUUUUAAAAAAAGGUAGUAGAGUACAACCGGAGAAUUACAGGCCAAUAUCUAUCUUGCCCACACUCGAUUAAAUAUUUGAACGUCUACUGCUUACCAGACUUGAGGACUUUUUUGAGAAACACAAUUUAUUAUCAGACUUUCAGUUUAGAUUCCGUAUAAAUAAAUCAACGGAAUUGGCUGCCCUCUCCAUUAGUGAACUGAUUAAACCUAAUAUAGAAUCAAAAUUGUUAACCAUGGGCGUUUUUGCGAAUCUUAAAAAAAACGUUCGACACUAUAGAUCAUUCUCUAUUGUGCAUAAAAUUGGAAUGCUAUGGAGUCCGUGGCGUCGCUCACAGUUUAAUACGUAAUUUUCUCCGGAAUCGAAGACAAUUUGUACAACUCGGGGAAACGUCUUCAUUUCUUGGCUCCAAUUCUACUGGUGUUCCACAAGGAUCCAUUUUGGGACCAUUUUUAUUUCUUGUUUACAUAAACGACUUGGCUUCACACCUUAACUCUCAAACAAUCUUAUAUGCAGAUGACACAUUAAUCUUUGUUGAGAGUCAUGACGUUGUGGACUUGUAUGCAAAAGCUAAUAGCGUUCUUUUAAGGUUAAACACCUGGUUAACUCACAAUCAACUCGUAGUAAGUCCAGCCAAAUCAUCCUAUGUCUUAUUUAAGCCACCACAAGUGCACAUUCGACCACACGGCAUAUCUAUACAUGUCACAUAUUCAAAGUUAUAUAUCUUAUGGCAUUGAAUGUUAUGCAUUGACAUACCAGUCCACGACACAUCCAGUGCGCAUAGCCCAGAAUAAGGCGCUUCGUGCCAUGUUAUCGCUAUCGCCUCAAGAAAGUGUCUCUUUUGUAUAUCGUCUUUUCAAUAUACCGUCGGUUCAGGUUUUGCUUAUGCGUAGAUUGUGUGUAGUUGUUUUCAAACUGCGGCACAGUCUAAUUUCCAUACCGUUUGUAAGUUUACAGGCCAAGACCUCCGUAAUCACAUUAAGGAAUCAGGGAUCAUUUGUCUUGACUCUGCCUAGUAUUCGAACCAACUAUGGCUACUUUUCGUUCCAGUAUUUCGCGGCCAAAGUUUGGAACUCGCUUCCACCUUAUAUUCAUACUUGUAAAUCGUUAGUGGUCCUCAGGAAGAUGAUUCACGAAUAUUUCAUGGGUGAAAGCGCUGUGUAAAUUCGUUGGUGCUUUACAUACCAGGUGUUCACUCUUCAUGUUGUUGAUAUUGGUGUUUUCUUCUUUGAUCGAAAGGUCCUGGUCCUGUAUGAGUCGUUUGUAAUACUAAUUAUUUUUUUUCUUUUGUGUUUCCUAGCGAUCACUGUCGUGUGUCAGCUUGAGUUGUAUGCAUACGAUACUGGAUCAAUUCCACGCCUAUGGCGUUUGAUCCUUCCAAUUUUGUGCCGUAUAAUGCAUUCAAUUUCUUUACCCCAUUUUGUAUGGCAUUACCUCUGUACAAGCUGUAAAAUAAAACAUUCGAACUGAACUGAACCGCACGGUGGACUUGGUGAUCUUUUGGAUGUAAAUGCUCGAUGGAUAAGCGGAUUCAGGAUAUGUCGGUCGUGAACUAAUAUGGCACCGAUGUAGUUUUGGAAUCAGCCACCCCAUAACACAUAUUUCGCGGCGUAUCCUCGGAAUGUUUUUGUUUGUUUGUUUUCAUGAUGUGAUGUGAUGUGAUAAGGAAAAAAAAAUGGGGAUGUGAGUUUCGACGACGUCGAACUGGCUACCCCAGUACUCUUACACAAACACAUGAUGAGAUGAUGAAAACCAGAGAUGAUGAUUUUUGUGUUCGUGAGAGUCCGUCAAAUUACGAUGUUUUAUGAUUUGAUAUGUUCACAAGUUACGAACAGAGUUGCUGUCGUGAGAUAAUAAAUUAGUCAGGUUCUAAAUUACGAGGUUGGUCCACAAGUUGAAAUCCCCAAAUCUCAAAAUAUUCACGAAAUAACAUAGUAUUAGGUACAAAAAGGUAAAAGCGCAUUAGGUAAAAAAGCUGCUGGUCGUGUGUGUCAUAUCCUGCUUGCCGUACGUAGUUGGCCUCGCUGAGGGCCGGCCGCUCGUCACGGCCAACGCAACAGCGCGCGUCCUAGGCCGACUUCCAAGGAAACCGUACCGGCAUGUGAUCGUCGGGGAAAACGCAGGCAAAAACAUCCUGGCAGCACGGCCGGACUGGGCAUAAGUAAGAAAGCACCAACACGGCUUUACGACAACGAAUGGCGCGAAGGCAGCCAAUGAUAAAAGUGACAACAAAGCAGCGAGAAAGAUAACUUCCCGGAAUGCAGACGCAGCAUUGUUUCUAUUUUCAAAGUGCUGUCUGUUGACAAUACAAAAAAAAAAAAAAAAUCCGCUGUACACUUAACAUUUUAUUCAUAUGCGCGUUGCUCCACACAUGCACAUUGCUUAGAACUCAAUUGAUGUUGAUGUUGACGAAAAAAAUAAUAGGAAGAAAUAGGGAACUCAGUAACAUGCUUCAUACGCUAACGACCUUCGUUCUGUGGUUGUACCUAUAUUCAGCGACACCUGCGUUCUUUGCGCUGGCAUUGGAACCAGUCCCACACUUCCCUACGUCUGUGGAUGUAGCAUGAAAAUGCAAACACCGAACUUUUGCUAACCUUAUAAUCAACAAACGAACGUGCUGUUCCGUCUCGUCCGUUUCAUUUAACUCCUAUUUCUUAAUGUUAUUUAUUUAUUUAUUUAUGGAAUAGCAAGCCGACAUCCCGUUUGGCUGACCUUUAGCCCGUUUUUUUUUUCCUUUUUGUCUAAUAAAUAUAUCCCCCUCCCCCGUCGCUGUCGUUGGUUGUCGUUGGUUUUCCUUGCUACGCGAACGUGAAUUUGGGUUCCGGAAAAGACUGUUGCUCAUUGCGUGGGCGGAAAUAAUUGUGCAGCGGCCGCUUGAUCGAUUUUUCUUAUUGGUUCAUGUGGAGCGUUCAUGAAAAAAAAAUAAUAAAGAUCAAAAUAAAAAUAAAUAAAUCAAUAAAAGAAAGAAAGAGAAACAACAAAUAAAGCUGCAGUUCUAAGUACCGUUAUCCUAAGAAACAUUUAUCUGUGUGUAAUCCGCUUGCUGGCUGUUUCAACAUUACGAACAUUACAGGGCAGACCUGUUGAACGUUACUGGAAUGUUUGUGAAGUCGGCCUUCCACUAACCGUAAAUACGAGAGAUUCUCGUUAGCCUUAUGAGAGAGUUGACUGAGUAAGCACAAACCCGAAACGGCAAAAUCGAGCAAAUUGACGCGUCAUGUCAAGCUAAUAAACUCAUCUCACUUCUGUAUAAGCGCACCGAAAAAAGAAGAGGUUUAUUGGUCUCGGUGGUUUCUUACACGGGCCGCGACAAUGCUGGCUCGUCUACCCACGUUCCCCCCCCCUCCCCCGACAAUGCUGGCUGACGAUAAUCCCUUUACGAGCAGCUAAGUAAGCUUUUGUUCUGGUCUCCAAGGCCAUGCUCUAAGUCCGCUGUCCAUGAAAGUAAAGAGGAGAGAGGGAGAACUACAGUGCGCGUGCGCGCCGCAUGGUCGGCGGAUGGAUACGGUCAAAAUGUUCCGCGCGGUUUUUUCUGUGCUACGGCUAGAGGGCGACACAGAAUGACGCGGUUUACGGGGCUCUGAGACGGUAUUUAUCCGUACUCACGUUUCAUGCUUUUUUAUAAAAACGGAAAGUGGUAGACAUAUAAAUUUGAUGUCUAUCGAUUCCUUUAAUAAUUCCGGAGAAAGUAAAUGCAAAGUUUUUUUCAAAAUGGCUAUAGAAGUUUAAUAAAACCUGUUCAAAGAGGGAGGAGAAAAAUUGUGUAUUUUUUUCGCAUUCGUGACAUCGCCGUAAAAUACAUACGACAUAUAUGAGAAAUCCUGUAGCGUAAAUAAUUUCAUCUCGUCUUCCUCUUUAUAAUGAAACCACCCACGUCAAAAUCUGGGCGGUGGGUACCGAGAACAAGCAUAAAAACUGUUCCAUAGGAAAUACAUUGGGACGGAGAGCUGGUAUGCCCUCUUAAGAACGAAGACCGGAAGCGUUGGUGUAAGUUUUGUCAACACCUUUCACCGUUUGAACCCGCCACAAAGAUCUGGAGGACAAUUCGACCUUUGAAGGAUGUGCCCCCACAAGACUCCUCUCGUGGCAUUGGCUAUGGUUAAGGGUGUAGACGAAACCACGCUAGCGACAGAUUUCUAGGUCGUCCUUACGACACUGGCGGCUGCCUCAACGUCUGCGGUACACAACAGUUUUGUCCAGAGCUUGACGACAGAAAUCCACCAAGACUGGCCCCACCCACCGGACGUUAUGAACCGCGACUUUACUCUAAUUGAGCUGAAGACUGCGUUGAAAGUUGUGAAUAUGCGACCGUCCAAAGCACCAGAUAAAAUCACCUAUGCCGCACUGCGAAACCUUGACGAGCAGUCACUCCAAGCUCUCCGCCAUGGUUAUAAUACCUCUUGGCGACAGGGAUCCGUACCAUCUACAUGGCAGGGGGCACUAGUUGUUCCCAUCCUGAAACCAGACAAACCCCCAAAUGUCCUAUCAUGCUUAGGCCCUGUGAGCCUGACAAGCUGUAUGGGAAAACUGAUGGAGAGAACGGUCUUGCAUCGCCUCGACUGGGGGCUCGAAAAACAAGGUGCGUUCCCUCAAGAAAUGACUGGAUUUCGUCGCCACCGAGGCUCCAUGGAUCCAGUUCUCGAUCGAGUUUCUACAGUCCAAUAUGCUCGUGCUCAUUGGCGGAUCGUUGUAUUGGUCUUCCUGGACAUUAAGCGGGCGUAUGAUACCAUCUCGCACAUCUGUGAGGCUCCAUUGGUUGCGGUUUUUUGGCGUAUCUGGUCGCCUCUUCAGCUGGCUCCACGAUUUCCUUACGGACCGAACUGUCGCUGUCCGCACGUCCCACGGUCAAAGCCCCAAGCACGCUAUUCAUCAAGGCGUACCCCAAGGAAGCAUUCUCAGUCCUACACUCUUUAAUGUGGUAAUGGCAGGACUAAAAUCGAUACUGUGGGGAAUGGAUGUGCUGCAAUGGUGGGAAGAUGCCACUAUUGCCCUUGAGGGAAGCUGUGCAUCCUCGACUCUGAGGGAAAGUCUGGUAAUUGCCUUAUGCUUGGACAUCACCUAUGAGCUCAUGUGAUCCACCCUCUGAUAUGACAGCGGUGUACUCCCAUCAUGUGCAACCAGUUCUGAUGUCUGAUCCAACUUGAGUAUUUUUUAUUUUUUUGCUUUCCUUUUGUUACGGAGUGUUCAGUAAAAUAAACUUCCCGCUCUUCUUUAUUUAUUCUUGAACUGUCCCGUCACAUCUUGCUUUCGAUUGCUGUUAUCCUGAAUUUUGUGAUCACAACAUGCCACACAUGGUCAAGCACCAAAUUGCUAUGUUUGCUACAUACUGGACCCUCACUGCAAGCUGCUGUGGCUAAAAGAAUGAAGUAGUGCAGCAUUUCACAAGCUACUCCACAGCAUAACUUGAGAGCCCCUGUCAUAUCUCAGCAUGACCAGACGGCAAGAGUAGCUGUAUGCGAUUUGCUGGUAUAGUUACGCGUUCGAAGCAGAAGCUUUUGAAGAAACGCCCUUCAUAAAACGCAAGUGCAGUAAUGUUGAAAGCGGUAUGAAACUGCAUAAUCCUAUCAAAUAGUAGAAACGGGGAACAAAUGACUCGAGUCAAAGGUAAGCCCAGGGCGUGAAGUGUCCUACGCAGAGGCAUCUCAAACAAUUCGAAUACGUACCUGGUAACUGAUAGGCAUUCUUUCCUCGAGUGGUUGCAAUAAGUGUUUUUCUAAAGACGAUUCUGCAUUCGCUCUUCCGCGUUCGGUCGUAUCAACGGAAGCGCAAUAGUAGACCAACUGCUGUUGUUGCUCCUGGCUAGACUAUUCAGGUACGGUGUGUUCAGGAAUAUAAUGCGUACGUAAAUGCAUGCCCACAACCGUACAUAAGCGGUUGUUCUAAAAUGUCCGAUGUAUGCAUGUACAACAGUAGUUCGAUCUGUUCUGUAGCUAGUGUAUACGAUGGAAAGUAACCGUAGCAAGACAAAGGUUACGGAACGUCUAUUUCACGCUAUCUGUUAAUGAAAUACAUACAGGGCGUCCCACCGAAAAAGGGCCAGGGGCUAAAAUAAAAACGGAGUGCUGGACACAAAUGGAACCAAUUGUACAUGUUUAGCAGUUGUGUGGUCUAUCCAAAAAUAUUUUUUUCCGUCGCCCCUUGUUAAUUAAUUAGCGGCCCUGGCCCUUUUUCGGUGGGACACCCUGUAUAGUGGCAUAUUUGGGUACUGAAAAUACCGACAAAAUAGCAGGCGAGUAGUGGAUGUGCUCCAUUCUUCUUCAUUGCGUAAACGCAUGUUUUUCUUUUUCUUUUAAUAUGAAAAUACUGCAUUUUAAGAUGCAUUUGGUCAGUGAUGGCCACUAACUACUUCUACAGUAGUUUAACUAUAACUACUAACUACUUUGUGAUUGAGUAGUUUAACUAGUAGUUCAACUACUUUUCAGGGGAGUAGUUAAAACUACUUUUUUUAACUACUGCAAUGUAGUUUAACUACAUCUAUAACUACUUAACGUUGUCCACCAACACCAAUCCCUCGUGGUGUUGCUGGAUACUUAAAUAUGAAUCGCGAGCAAUAAUAAACUUUGGCUCGAGCCAUUGCUACGAUCGUCAAAUACAAAGCCUGCGGCGGGAUUCUUUCUGUGCCCACGCGAUAAACGAAGUUGCAGAAUUAUUUCGCAGCAAAUGAGGCUUCACUAGACAAGCAUUAAAAGGGAAGAUUUUGUACACAUGCACGACACAAUUGCUCUGCAGCUCCGUUCUCAUCAAACAAGUAGCUCAAGGUAAAAGUCGGAAGCACAAUCGUGCCGUAAAGCUUGCGGCAAAAUCGGAAGUAGUUGGCGCCUUAGGUAACUUAACUACUGUAGUUAACUACUUAAAAUAGUAGUUUAACUAGUAGUUGCCACUACAUUUCUGCAAGUAGUUGAUAACUACUUUUUAACUACAAUCAGGUAGUUUAACUAGUAGUUUAACUACAUGUAGUUAACUACUGGCCAUCACUGCAUUUGGUAGUAUAUUAGCAUCUUACUUUCUCCAAAGGUAUUCGCAUACUCUGUUCAGAUUACCCUUUUGGUAUUUUCUACUCAGUAUUGCAAAUAAUUUCCCUCUGUCUGUCUGCAUUCACACCGUCUCCGGAUUCACGACGAGUUACUCCUGUGCCCAGUGUCUUUUUUUCCCUUCUUCUUCUUGUUUUGAAGAGAGAGAGGUGGUGGUGCUUGUGAAAGAGCUCGCCUUUCGAGUGCAGUGGUGGCUGUGGUAAUGGUUCAGUAUCGCAAGUACACUCUUCUUACGGGUUGACAUCCAAACCUGUUGCAUGCAGGCGUUCGACCGAGGCGGCUCCUCCCGACUAGAGGUGUGCGCCGAGGGCAAUUUCGUCGUCGGCGGCGUACCUCCCAUUUUUCUGCCGGCGUCGGCGUCGGCGGCGCCACGCCAAUCUGCUUCAAUCGGCGUGACCCAUAAAAUCAUAAGGAGAAAUAAGGAGAAAUCAUAUGCUUAUGAUUUCUAUGGCGUCUCCCCUCUCAGCUCCCGUCCCGCUUCCUAAGUAUUAUGUAAAACUGCGGCAUGAACACGAUGCCGUCGUUUUGUAGUCCUUCAAACACUAAGUUUCCAAGCUUUUAAGUACAAAUUAUUGCCAGCACGCUCUGAAUGGACGACUGUCGGAAAAAGCAGAGUUAUAUUUCGGAUUUAACAAAUAACGGGCGAGUCGAUGAGCUCCUGCCAGGGCCGACGAUAAGGGGGGUGGGGCAAGUUAAGCGACCGCCUUAAUCCCCGCGCUUGCAUAGGCCCGGCAAUAACUUUUUUUUUAAUACCAAGUAUGCACUUAAUCGUGUGAAACAGGCCCCGCGCACCCCUACCACUGGCCGUGGCUCCUGCACGAGGUUUUACUCAGCCGCAUCCGCACCGAGCAGUGAGAAUCCGCGUAGCCUCCCUGCGCGUCCUGCUGUCUAGCAGGCGGAUAUACGCAGCUGGGCUGCUGUGCGCGAACGCAGACGGCGGGUGGCAGCAACUUCGCGACGAGGUCAUGUGAUAGAGCCGAGUCACGUGGGGCUCCGCUGACGGAGUGCCAAAGGUGGGCCCCGUCGUGCACUUCUCUCAUACCCACCGUUGUUCCUCUUUGAUAUCGCAGACGCGGUGAUUGCCACGAGCGUUAUGGCUGUGCAGAAAGAGUGUAGUGUCCAUCUGUUCCACAGAGUCUUGGAAGAGCAUUCGACGGGUAUUCUGCGUAGCGUAUCGUCGUCUUCGAAGCAGCUUCAGCACUGGAUGGUCUACUUUAUUUUUGAUGACGGAACAGUUCUAGAGUGUGAUGGAGAAGAAGACGCUACCUCCAAGAAACUGCGUGGGAAUGCACGGGUGAUAAGUCGCAGCGAUGUGGAGCCUUUCCUAAAAAACAUGAAACUAUUGAAGGAAGGUGUUCGUUUCUCGAAAGAAGACAUCAGAGAAGAGGUGGACAGAAUGAACCUGAAUUGCGAGAAGUAUGACCUUGUCGGCAACAACUGCCAGCACUGUAUCAAAAGGCUGCUCGGAAGGCUGGAUGUACCAGUGUCUGACGUCGAUAUAAAAGAAGCCAUUGCCAUUGGAGUCGGCCUAGUUGCAGAAGCCGCAGUUACAGCCUUGUUCAAUUCCGCGUCUCGAUAAUUAAAUGUGUUCUAUCGACGUUCAUCGCCUGAGUAUUGACACACAGCCCUGGCAGAAAUAUCAGAGAGUGGUAACUGUUGUAGAAAAACAGUCGGGCAUGACUGAAGUCAGUGAGCAGAGUUCAGCAAAGUUCUCCUUUUCCCUGAAAGAUGAAAGCCACUGAAAAGGCUAGCGCGCUGUAGGACUCGAACCCAAAUCUUCUAGAUUUCUGUAGGCAACUGUUGAACAUGAGAGAAGUGAUGUUCUGAGGUUGGAACAACAUAGAAAGGACAAAUACAUACAAAGCCCGAAAUUUGCCAGAGCCAAAGCCAAAUUUGCCCUUUCUAUGUUGUUUCAGUAUCAGAACAUCAGUUCUCUCACGUUCUCUUUUUCUUUUUUCUGCUUUCUUUCUCCUUUCUUCUUUUUAUUUUAUUUUCGUCCUUUCUUUCACCAUGUCUUUUUUUUUCGUAUUCCGUUCUUCUAUUCUUUUUAUUCUCCUUUCCUUCCCUUCUUUGUCUUUUUCUUUUCUUUUGUUCCCAUUUUUUCGAUAGCAAGCCGACCUUCGGCCGACCGACUUUCGGAUAGCAAGCCGACCUCCAUCUGGCUAACCUACCCUUUCUGUUUUGUUAAUAAACAUACCCCCCCCCCCCCAACAAAGUAGUUCUGCAUUCCUGUUGCUCGUUUUUCUCUUCCUCUCCCUAUGUUCACAAACUGCAGUGUCUGCGACGAAUGCUAGAAGCGGUCUUCGCAAAGUGAGACGCUGUAUUACGGAAUCGGGCAUUUUCUCUUCUUGGGGAGCCUGUUCUUUCAAGUCUGAUGACACCCCAGGUGCCGGAUCCACGCCGCCAGAGGCGGAGGGAUGAAAUAGCUACGUGCGCGUGGUUCUGUUUGCUCGCAGCAGGGUUGUUUACAAUACAGGCUUAUACAGGUAUUGAGACGUGUGUUGUGUGUCGUGCCUCUGGGUGUCCAGAUUCCGGCUUCUACUUUAUGGAGCACAGGUAUAUAUUCCUUCCACGGCAUCAAGUAAUCUGUGCCCUCUAAUUUUUGUAUUGCACUGUGCCUGUGUUUUGCUCAUUUGGAUUACCUAUAAUGGCUUGUACUGUACGUGGCCUGGCGUAUGGUUUCACCCAUGUAGCCAAAGAUGGGAUAAUAAAUGUCUAAUCGACGUCUAAAUUUGGACGUCCGGCUGGUCUA